AACUCUCAACCCCCUCAUUUUGUAAUGAAGUGAGUCGUGGGCUUGGAUUAUGGCUGUCUGUCGGCUUAAGUGCCGGCUCAGCUGAAAAACACGAGUAACCCAGUUUGAAAAUCUGACGGCUUGACUCGGCGUAAUAAUUAUUAUCGCUGAGGACGUCUAGCCUUCAAAUCGUUAGUGGUGCUUCUAAUGCAAAUCAUUUUAAGA
rnacentral:misc_RNA from 1 species